UACGAAGGACCCGAGCGUUAUCCGGAUUUAUUGGGUUUAAAGGGUGCGUAGGCGUCCUGGAAAGUUACGGUUGAAAUCUCCUUGCUCAACAAGGAAACUGGCCGUAAAACUAUCAGGAUUGAGUACAUUUGAAGCGGGCGGAAUGUGUCAUGUAGCGGUGAAAUGCUUAGAUAUGACACAGAACACCAAUUGCGAAGGCAGCUCGCUAAACUGUAACUG
rnacentral:rRNA from 1 species